ACACUCCCCUGAUCUCUCAACUCCUUGUUUCUUCUUGCCCAGGUCUCGCUCAUCCUGAACCCCGCCAACGACUACGGGUUAAUCAUGCCAACUGGCUCCUGAAUCCCUCCUCUCUCCUGAGCCUAUUUCGCAAAAAAAUCCCCUUCAGUUAUAGCUCCAAAUUCUCUGAUUUGCUCUCUGUUUUUUGGAUUUCAGGUUGGGGUGCUACUAGGGCUCUUCGACCUCAGCUCCAGGACAAGUCACCGGCCGCGUGGCUACAAAGGAGCGGCUCCAGCUUUGACUACAGGAUGUUUGGAUCUAGUUGCUAAUUGCGACAGAUGUGCAGAGCUUGGCGUACACGAUGAUGUUGAAAGUUCCAGUCCGGCUUUGCUUACAUAACACCAGAUAGCAGUCUGCCUGGAUUCCAAAUAUUGUUCUACAGUAUGCAGUUUUAUAAUUGUCAAGCAUCUCUUCCUCGCUGAUGCUGUGACCAUGACCAAGCAUCACGAUAUAUGGUGGCUGGCGACAAUACCUGGGAAGUGAAGUCUAGUGCUUAUUUAUGGUCUAGUGGUGUGUAGUAAUUUUAAGAAUAUUGUUGUUUCGAUUUUUUGAUCUUGUGCAACAAGGAAGUUGUAUUUGUGCGUUUUUUUUUUCUGUUUUUCCUUUCAUAGGCAUCUAGCUUACACACUCAUAUUUAAUUUGUUUACAUUUUGUGAAUCUCAGUGUAUCUAUAUUGACAGUUUCUAUGAAUGAGUAUCCAAUUAUGUUUUGUUCU